CGGCUAUACACGGAUAAUAUUUCGAACCGCAUGGUUCGAUAGUGAAAGGUGGUUUUGCUAUCACUUAUAGAUGGACCCGCGCCGUAUUAGCUAGUUGGUAAGGUAACGGCUUACCAAGGCGACGAUACGUAGCCGACCUGAGAGGGUGAUCGGCCACACUGGAACUGAGACACGGUCCAGACUCCUACGGGAGGCAGCAGUG
rnacentral:rRNA from 1 species